UACGUAGGUGGCGAACGUUGUCCGGAUUCACUGGGCGUAAAGCGCGCGCAGGCGGGUUAGUAAGUCUGAGGUGAAAGCUCCCGGCUCAACUGGGAGAAGCCCUUGGAUACUGCUAGCCUUGAGACACUUAGAGGAGAGUGGAAUUCCCGGUGUAGUGGUGGAAUGCGUAGAUAUCGGGAGGAACACCAGUGGCGAAAGCGGCUCUCUGGGAGUGUUCUGACGCUGAGGCGCGAAAGCGUGGGGAGCAAACCGG
rnacentral:rRNA from 1 species